rnacentral:rRNA from 1 species
GACGAACCGUGCGAACGUUAUUCGGAAUCACUGGGCUUAAAGGGCGCGUAGGCGGGUCAUCAAGGCCGGGGUGAAAGCCCACGGCCCAACCGUGGAAGUGCCUUGGAUACUGAAGACCUCGAGGGGGAUAGGGGCGUGCGGAACUCAGGGUGGAGCGGUGAAAUGCGUAGAUAUCCUGAGGAACACCGGUGGCGAAAGCGGCGCGCUGGAUCCCUUCUGACGCUGAGGCGCGAAAGCCAGGGGAGCAAACGGG